CCAGACUCCUACGGGAGGCAGCAGUAGGGAAUCUUCGGCAAUGGACGGAAGUCUGACCGAGCAACGCCGCGUGAGUGAAGAAGGUUUUCGGAUCGUAAAGCUCUGUUGUAAGAGAAGAACGAGUGUGAGAGUGGAAAGUUCACACUGUGACGGUAUCUUACCAGAAAGGGACGGCUAACUACGUGCCAGCAGCCGCGGUAAUACGUAGGUCCCGAGCGUUGUCCGGAUUUAUUGGGCGUAAAGCGAGCGCAGGCGGUUAGAUAAGUCUGAAGUUAAAGGCUGUGGCUUAACCAUAGUACGCUUUGGAAACUGUUUAACUUGAGUGCAGAAGGGGAGAGUGGAAUUCCAUGUGUAGCGGUGAAAUGCGUAUAUAUAUGGAGGAACACCGGUGGCGAAAGCGGCUCUCUGGUCUGUAACUGACGCUGAGGCUCGAAAGCGUGGGGAGCAAACAGGAUUAGAUACCCUGGUAGUCCACGCCGUAAACGAUGAGUGCUAGGUGUUGGGUCCUUUCCGGGACUCAGUGCCGUAGCUAACGCAUUAAGCACUCCGCCUGGGGAGUACGACCGCAAGGUUGAAACUCAAAGGAAUUGACGGGGGCCCGC
rnacentral:rRNA from 1 species